AAAUUAAUGUUUAUCAUUUUUGCUAAAUGGUCACAUCUGUAUACAGAAGAUCCUCUGAACUAAUGUUUAGUUUCAGUUGAUCAAGUUUACUUGCUGAAGUAGAAAUAUUUCUUUGGUUUCCGUUGAUAUCAGUGUGUUUCACAAAUAAUGUCUGAUCAUUGAUAUUGAUCCUUCAGAGCACGCACACACACAAACACACUCUAAAAGUCACAUACAGCAGCACAGAGAGUGUGAAGCUUAUUUCCAAAUGCAGCUGUUUGAAGCAUCGUGUCUGAUCUGUCACCACCGACAGGUGACACUUCAACAUGUGACGAUGCUUCCUGUCAGAAAAUUAUGUCACUCUGUGUUCUGACUCAGUAAACAGGAGCAUUAUAAUAAAUAAUGCACUAUAUUUGUGCGGGAAGGUACUAGGUUACAUUUAAGAUGAAGAACAUGCCUCUCACUUUGCUCACUGCACCUUUGAUCCCGUUAUAAAGAUGAGGAUGAAGCUCACAGUCAGUCAGCUGUGUGUUGAUGGAGAUGACAGUGGUGAUGAGGAGAGUCUGAAUCUGGGGUUUGAAAUGAGAGCAUCAGAAGAGCAGGGACAGGUGCUUUUUUGUAUUUACUUACAAUAUUAUUUAUUUCAUAAAGUCUAAUUUAUUUCAUAUUGGUCAUUUUGGAAUUCUAUAGAAAACAUCUGUCUUAGUAUUUUUCAUAAAAUGACACACAAUUGUUUUAAAUGAGAAGAAACAGACGAGAGUGAAAGUAACAAAAUUGACAACAUGUCUGAUUUGAUCAUUAUUCCAGACUUGACUGAGAUCAGCAGCAUGUUAUUGAUCUGUGUUGACAUGAAUAGGUGUAUGAAUGUUGUGCUGACAUUUGGAUGAUGUCUGCAGAAGGCUGACAUGAUGAUGAUCCACAAUAACACGAUGACAAAGUCACUCUACUCAUUUUAGGGAAAAGCUCAUUGAUUAGGACAGAGUGAUGUUGAGCUACACAUUUCAAACCUGAACACAUGUGAUUGGAUCAUAAAUGGAUUCUUAUCUGCAUCAUUUAUUCUUUAUUCAGAUUGAGGUGGUGCUGGUUGUCAGAGACCAGCUGUGCUUCUCUGGCCUCAGCUCUGAAGUCCAACCCCUCCCAUCUGAGAGAGCUGGACCUGUGUGGCAACAAGCUGCAGGAUUCAGGAGUGAAGCUGCUGUGUGAUCUGAAGAAGAGUACACACUGCAGACUAGAGACUCUGGAGACUCUGAGAUGCUGGUGAUCUCUGUCAGUGUGGUUGUGUUGAGAGGACCAGCAGUGUCCUGAUGAUCCAGAGGUUGAAGCAGCAGCAGCAGCUGGUGUGUGGAGAGUCUCUGACUGGGCCAUGUUACUGGGAGGUGGAGUGGAGAGGAGAGCUGACGGAGGAAUCACAACAAGCGGAGAUGACUGUCAGUGCUGCAGUCUGAACUGCUCUGAGAUCAGCUCCACUGUCGGACACAAAGGCAAGUCCACCAUCGUCCCUGUGUGUUCCUCUGGAUGUGGCAGAGUAUCGUCAGUGUAUCUGGACUCUCUGCUGCUGCUCUGUCCUUCUACACCGUCUCUGCAGACACACUGAGACUCCUCCACUCCUUCUGCUCCACACUCCUCGACCUGGACCAGGACUUUAUUUAGUAUUUUUUUUUAUUCAUUCAGAUAUUCUGAGCCCAACAUGCCUCUGCAGAUUAGCUCUGUUUAAGACAACAUAACUGCAGAUUAACACUUAUUUAAAUUGAUUUUUCUGUUUUGCUUUCUGUUGCAGCACCACCUUGUGAAAUGAUGGAGAAUUGCAGUUAAUUUCCACAUUAUAUUUCUAAUUAAUUUUGCAAGUUGAUGUGAAAAAGCAGCAUCCAGCCUGCAUGCAUAAAGUUUUUAUUUUAUUUUUUUAUUUCACAAUCAGAAAGGCCCAUGUCAUAUUCAAGAGAAUACCGUUUACAAGAACAGAACAAACAAAAAGGAAAAUUACAUGACAAAAAUAAAUAAUUUAAAGAUAAAAAACACAAGUGAUCUAUAAGGAAUUAAGGUACAUAGAUAUUCAUAAAGAUAUAGGGCUUUUUUAAUUUGACACCAUUUUAUAUAUUUUGUGUUUCAUAUUAUCUCAUUAAGAUAUGCAGCUAAUAUAGGAAUAGUUUAACAAAAAAUUAUAUUUUGAACUGUUUGACUGUAUCCUAGACUGCUGUUUUACUUCCUUUUGUAUCAUGAAAAGCCAGUGCUGUUUUUACCCUUGGUCACGCACUGAACACCAGAACAUUUUCAUACUUCAACCAACUGCAACAUUAAAAUACUGCUUACAUUUUAUUGCUUCACAAUAAAAUAAUAUAAUGAUAUAACAGUGACAGGGGCUAUCCUGCACAAUGAGUACUUUUACUUUUGAUACUUUAAGUACAUUUGCUGACAAGACUUAUGUACCUUUACUUCUGUAAAACGUAUUAUUUAUUUUAACAUUGCGUUAUUACUUUUUGCUCAGGUAAAGGAUAUAAAUAUGUUGUACUUGUAAAUUAAAGGAAUAACAUUUACAAUGAAAGAAAAUGAGUCUGCAACACAUUUUGAGGUCCGUUUUAGGUCACUACUUAGACUGAACAAUAAAAGCUAUGAGGACACUGGAUGUAUUAAAAGCCUUGAAAAGAUAA